rnacentral:tRNA from 1 species
AGGCGCGUAGCUCAGGGGUAGAGCGCUACCUUGACACGGUAGAGGUCGUUGGUUCAAAGCCAAUCGCGCCUA